UCCGUUAUGGUGUAGUGGCUAACAUUAUCGCCUCUCAUAAGGCGCUUUCGCAUAAUGCAUCGGACGCGAUAGCCCAGGGUUCGAUUCCCUGUAACGGAA